UACAGAGGGGGCAAGCGUUGCUCGGAAUUACUGGGCGUAAAGGGCGCGUAGGCGGGAUGGCAAGUCGGUCGUGAAAUCCCUCGGCUCAACCGAGGAACGUCGAUCGAUACUGCUGUUCUUGAGGAUUGCAGAGGAGACUGGAAUUCCCGGUGUAGCGGUGAAAUGUGUAGAGAUCGGGAGGAACACCGGUGGCGAAGGCGGGUCUCUGGGCAAUUCCUGACGCUGAGGCGCGAAAGCGUGGGGAGCAAACGGG
rnacentral:rRNA from 1 species